GUAUUUUGGGUCUUUUUGGGGGUAUUUGGGGAGUCUUAGGUUCUCCCAGUUAUCGCGUAUAAGUGCUCUAAGUUCUCUCAGUGUUAAGUUCUCUCAAUAAUAGCGUUUUAAUUUUUCUCACUGAUCGCGUCUUAUUUUCUCUCAGUAAUCGCGUAUAAGUUCUUUCUGUUCUGUCAGUGUUAAGUUCUGUCAAUGAUGGCAUUUUAAUUUUUCUCAGUGAUCGCGUAUAAGUUCUCUAUGUUCUCUCAGUGUUUGUUUUCGCAGUGAUUGUUUGUUAUUUUCUCUCAAUGAUCGCGUCUUAAUUUCUCUCAGUUAUCGCGUAUAAGUUCUUUAAUUUCUCUCAGUGUUAAGUUCUCUAAUUGACAGCGUGUUAAUUUCUCUCUGCGAUUGCGUGUUAAGUUCUCUCAAUGAUCGUGUUUUAAUUUCUCUCAGUAAUUACGUACAAGUUCUCUAAUUUCUCUCAGUGUUAAGUUCUCUCAAUGAUCGCGUCUUAAGUUCUCUCAGUUAUCACGUAUAAGUGCGCUAAGUUCUCUCAGUGUUAAGUUCUCUCAUUGACCGCGUGUUAAUUUGUCUCUGUGAUCGCGUGUUAAAUUCUAAUUAAGUUAUUACCUAAUUUUUCUCAAUUAUCGCAUAUAAGUUCUCUAUGUUCUCUCAUUGUUAAGCUCUCUCAGUGGUCGCGUAUAAGUUUUCUUUGUUCUCUCAGUGUUAAGUUCUCUCAUUGACCGCGUGUUAAUUUGUCUCUGUGAUUGCGUGUUAAGUUCUAACUAAGUUGUAACCUAAUUUCUCUCAAUAAUCGCGUAUAAGUUCAUUAUGUUCUCUCAUUGUUCAGUUCUCUCAGUGGUCGCGUAUAAGUUUUCUUUGUUCUCUCAGUGUUAAGUUCUCUCAGUGAUAGCGUAUAAGUUCUCUAAGUUCUCUCAGUGUUAAGUUCUCUCAAUGAUCGCGUCUUAAGUUCUCUCAGUUAUCGCGUAUAAGUAAGCUAAGUUCUCUCAAUGUUAAGUUCUCUCAUUGACCGAGUGUUAAUUUGUCUCUGUGAUCGCGUGUUAAGUUCUAACUAAGUUGUAACCUAAUUUCUCUCAAUAAUCGUGUAUAAGUUCAUUAUGUUCUCUUAUUGUUCUGUUCUCUCAGUGGUCACGUAUAAGUUUUCUUUAUUCUCUCAGCGUUAAGUUCUCUCAGUGAUCGCGUAUAAGUUCUCUAAGUUCUUUCAGUGUUUAGUUCUCUCAAUGAUCGCGUCAUAAGUUCCCCCAUUAUCGCGUAUAAGUAAGUUAAGUUCUCUUAGUGUUAGGUUUUUCAUUGACCGCGUGUUAAUUUUUCUUUGUGAUCGCGUGUUAAGUUGUAACUAAGUUGUAACCUCAUUUCUCUCAAUAAUCGUGUAUAAGUUCAUUAUGUUCUCUUAUUGUUCAGUUCUCUCAGUGGUUGCGUAUAAGUUUUCUUUGUUCUCUCAGUGUUAAGUUCUCUCAGUGAUCGCGUAUAAGUUCUCUAAGUUCUCUCAGUGUUUAAAUCUCUCAAUGAUCGCGUCUUAAGUUCUCUCAGUUAUCGCGUAUAAGUUUUCUUUGUUCUCUCAGUGUUAAGUUCUCUCAGUUAUCGCGUAUAAGUUCUCAAAGUUCUCUCAGUGUUAAGUUCUGUCAAUGAUCGCGUAGUAAGUUCUCUCAGUUAUCGCGUAUAAGUAAGCUAAGUUCUAUCAGUGUUAAGUUCUCUUAUUGACCGCGUGUUAAUUUGUCUCUGUGAUCGCGUGUUAAAUUCUAACUAAGUUGUAACAUAAUUUCUCUCAAUAAUCGCGUAUAAGUUCAUUAUGUUCUCUCAUUGUUCAGUUCUCUCAGUGGUCGCAUAUAAGUUUUCUUUGUUCUCUCAGUGUUUAGUUCUCUCAGUGAUCGCGUAUAAGUUCUCUAAGUUCUCUCAGUGUUGAAUUCUCUCAAUGAUCGCGUCUUAAGUUCUCUCAGUUAUCGCGUAUAAGUUUUCUUUGUUCUCUCAGUGUUAAGUUCUCUCAGUGAUCGCGUAUAAGUUCUCUCAGUGUUUAAUUCUCUCAAUGAUCGCGUCUUAAGUUCUCUCAGUUAUCGCGUAUUAGUUUUCUUUGUUCUCUCAGUGUUAAGUUCUCUCAGUUAUCGCCUAUAAGUUCUCAAAGUUCUCUCAGUGUUAAGUUCUGUCAAUUAUCGCGUCUUAAGUUCUCUCAGUUAUCGCGUAUAAGUAAGCUAAGUUCUCUCAGUGUUAAGUUCUCUCAUUGACCGCGUGUUAAUUUGUCUCUGUGAUCGCGUGUUAAAUUCUAACUAAGUUGUAACCUAAUUUCUCUCAAUAAUCGCGUAUAAGUUCAUUAUGUUCUCUCAUUGUUCAGUUCUCUCAGUGGUCGCGUAUAAGUUUUCUUUGUUCUCUCAGUGUUUAGUUCUCUCAGUGAUCGCGUAUAAGUUCUCUAAGUUCUCUCAGUGUUUAAUUCUCUCAAUGAUCGCGUCUUAAGUUCUCUCAGUUA